rnacentral:lncRNA from 1 species
CAACAUCAAGAGUCAGGGCCCGGGGGUCCUGACGGGUACAGGAUGGGUACAGACCCACACAGGAAUCCCAGAGUGUGUUCCACAGCAGGACACGCCUGCGCUGAAAGAGUGGGCAGAAAGGAGCUGACCUGGGAUUAUGAUCCAAACUCAGCUGGGCCUCCCCUCCCUGCCCCAGGAUUGUGGAGUGAGAACGUUGCAGCAGGAGAGAACAACGCAGCAAAGCACAGCAGGGGAACCGGAAAUGCUCACCUUUUGACAGGACCAAACCAAUGCACAACUCCUACGUACUGAUGGUGGUCUUACGUUUCCCUA